ensembl:snoRNA SNORD115 Small nucleolar RNA SNORD115
GGGUCUAUGAUGACAAACCAUUGUCAUGAAAGAGGUGAUGACGGAAAAAUCAUGGUCAAUAGGAUUACAAUGAGCC